GAAAUGCGAUAAGUAAUGUGAAUUGCAGAAUUCAGUGAAUCAUCGAAUCUUUGAACGCACAUUGCGCCCCCUGGUAUUCCGGGGGGCAUGCCUGUUCGAGCGUCAUUACAACCCUCAAGCUCCGCUUGGUAUUGGGCCCCGCCGGUUCUGGCGGGCCUUAAAGUCAGUGGCGGUGCCGCCCGGCUCCGAGCGUAGUAAUUCUUCUCGCUCUGGAGGCCUGGGUGUGUGCUAGCCAGCAACCCCCAAUUUUUUCAGGUUGACCUCGGAUCAGGUAGGGAUACCCGCUGAACUUAA
rnacentral:misc_RNA from 1 species